GAAGGGAAGGGGUGGGGAGCCCAGGCCCGCUGCGCCUUCGGCGGGUUUCCAGCUGUUUUGACGUGGGGCAAGCGCGGUGGAGGGGCCGCAGUGCCCAUCGCCAAGCUGCUGCCACGAACCCGGCUCAUCCUGCCAGGCAUGGGCAGCUUGCGCCGUCCAGGGACUGGCUGCGUCCCCCGGGCUGCCCUGCAGGGAGGGGCUCGUGGGGGUCAGUCUGGGCACCGUUUGCUGACUAGCGCCCUGGGUACCCCAGUGCCCGCUCCAAGCUCUGCAUCGCAGAACAGCGACUCCACCCCAGGCGGGGGGGCAUCUCGCAUAACUCUGUGAUGCCUUAAAUACCUGCCCCCCGGAUCCCUGCCAUGUCUCCCCAACAUGCACCCCAUGACCCCACGGUGCUUGGAGGCUGCUGCUGCGUUAGGAACUUAGCACUGUGUGACAGUGGUGGAUGUUCUGUCAGUGUAAUAGUAGGGGCCUGUGUUAAUAUUUAUGUGGGGAGUUAUCAGUCUUAAACCAUCGCUUUCCUAAUUCUGAGAGCAACACCCACAGUGUAAGGAGCUGAAGUAAUGCUGAGUGCAAUAGUGCUGCAAAACAGGGCUUUGGAGUGGAGCCUGGAGCUGGAGCGUGGACCAGCUCAGGAAAUAGUGGGAGUAGCUGUGAGAGAGCAUUUGUUCUUUUAUUCAUCUUCUGUAUGAAUCUGGCACUUGUGGAAGAAAAAUAAUCUUGAUUAGAAGUGGGCAUAGUGGUGCAGAUGCAUUGCAUAGGUCUACGAGUGUACUUCAGUCCAGACCUGAAACAGUCCCAGCUGUUCCUGUCCUGGUCUUUGUGAGCAGAUGCAGUCUUUUGUGCUAAAUUAUGUGCUGUGGACAAAUCAUCUUUGAGGGCUGGGAUGUAACUAUCAGACUCUCCAAAAAAAAAAAUCAGUUUAUGAAUGCGGGGUGUUUUAUCUUCUAAUGAAGAGAACUGCAUGUGGAAUCUGAGAAAUACAGUGCAGACGUGACACAGGUAAAAUAUGGAUUACAGAGGUUGAGGGCUUUUAUGGGAUAUUUACACUAUCACUUCUUUAAGUCAUUAGUCCAAAUCUAGCUCACAUUGCUAGUAGUUGUAAAUUGUUGCGAUGAUAGAGAUUAUUUGGUGGUCUAUAUGAAAUGACUUGGAGGUUUCACUCCAGUUCUUAAUGGUGUGUGCUGAUUAUGAUCUAGAGCAGUGGUUCCCAAACUGGGGUUUGCGAAAUGGUACAGGGGUUCUCUGGGGAAAAAAUUCCCUAAUGGCGGACAGAGCUGUCCCUAGGGACCCCGGGCAGCACAGGGCCAGCAGCUCGCAGCCCUUGGACUUCCAAGAGCGAAGCAGAUCAGAGCAAGCAUCUCUAUCACAUUGAGGAGACUUAAACUUCAAGAUUCCUUAUAAGAAACAGAAAGAGAGGUGAAUAUUUUUUCUGUUUUAAAAAUUAAAUAGGCAGCUAGAAUUGUUUUUAAAAUU